rnacentral:rRNA from 1 species
AUUGAACGCUGGCGGCGUGCCUUACACAUGCAAGUCGAACGGUAACAGGUUAAGCUGACGAGUGGCGAACGGGUGAGUAAUGUAUCGGAACGUGCCCAGUCGUGGGGGAUAACUGCUCGAAAGAGCAGCUAAUACCGCAUACGACCUGAGGGUGAAAGCGGGGGAUCGCAAGACCUCGCGCGAUUGGAGCGGCCGAUAUCAGAUUAGGUAGUUGGUGAGGUAAAGGCUCACCAAGCCGACGAUCUGUAGCUGGUCUGAGAGGACGACCAGCCACACUGGGACUGAGACACGGCCCAGACUCCUACGGGAGGCAGCAGUGGGGAAUUUUGGACAAUGGGCGCAAGCCUGAUCCAGCCAUGCCGCGUGCGGGAAGAAGGCCUUCGGGUUGUAAACCGCUUUUGUCAGGGAAGAAAAGGUUCUGGCUAAUACCUGGGACUCAUGACGGUACCUGAAGAAUAAGCACCGGCUAACUACGUGCCAGCAGCCGCGGUAA